UGGCAGAAUCAUGCUGUUAAAAAUAAAACCACGUUGGGUCUGGUUAAAAUGAGCAGGCCGUAGGUUGGGCACCCAGAUUAAGUAUUAUCAGACAACUUCCAGUUGAAAUCGGUGUGUGCAUGUAUUGCCUGUAGGCACCUGGCAACAAAAUUACUCUCUAGGUUGUGAGGGUCACUGACAGCCGAUCGGAUACACCUGUCAGAGAUGUGAUGGGCUUUGAUGUAUGAUCAGGUCUCUGCUGAGAGAAGGCUUAAACUGAUGAUUCUCACCACCCGUGGGAAGGACGGCUGCUUUAUAGUUCUGUGUGUAAAGUAUGCUUAGUGAGCGAAGCUGAAAAGUUGACUUGGACUUCACUUUGUACAGUAAGGUCAAAGGUCUAUAGCUAUCUGCGGCGGCUGGUCAGUGCUGCCAAGCCGAGAGCUGCUGAGGGAGUGGUAGGAUCCACGAUUUUCCAGAUCACGUGCCUGAUGUGCUAGAAAAUAAUUAUACAGUAUUGUGGACGAGAAUUAAGUCAGUCGACAGCUUUUUCAUACUUGAUUUUGGCAAUGUAAAACGCAAACCACAAAAGAAAAACGAUUUAUAAAAGUACAAACCUUCAUACGCCAUUCUAUUUAAGGUGAUUUCAGCGGACAUAAUAUUUCUGAUGGAGAGCUGGCUUUUAUUGUGGACUUUGAUUCAAGUGGGAUGGCUAUUUUUCGGAGAUUCACAUGAUAUACGGACAGCAAGAAAAUGUCUAAUUUCGCUGUUGAAGACCGUGACAUUUUACCUUCAGAUUAAUCUUCCUUAUUGGUUCUGUAUACUUGAAGAACAUUGAAAGAACCAGUGAACCUUGGAUUGUGCCACAAUGAUUAUUGCCAUCGUCAAUAAAAUUCAUUUGUUA